rnacentral:rRNA from 1 species
UACACGCAUGACACACUGCAUAUCAAUAAGCGGAGGAAAAGAAACUAACAAGGAUUCCCUUAGUAACGGCGAGUGAAGCGGGAAGAGCUCAAAUUUGAAAUCUUCAAGGUUCUACCUUGACGAAUUGUAGUUUAAAGAAGUGUUUUCUGUUAGUGGAGUGGCAAAAGUUCUUUGGAAUAGGACAUCAUAGAGGGUGAGAAUCCCGUAUUUGGUCAUUCCUUCUAGCUUUGUGAUACACUUUCAAAGAGUCGGAUUGUUUGGGAAUGCAGUCCAAAACGGGUGGUAAAUUUCAUCUAAAGCUAAAUAUUGGCGAGAGACCGAUAGCGAACAAGUACCGUGAGGGAAAGAUGAAAAGAACUUUGAAAAGAGAGUUAAACAGUACGUGAAAUUGUCAAAAGGGAAGCGUUUGACACCAGUGUUGUUUUUCCGAAAAUCAAUUACGAAUGUUUUAUUUUUGAGAAGUUAUGACUUCAUCGGCUUGCUUCUCUCUUUAUGAAACUUUCUUAAUGCACUUUUCGGUUAACAAGUCAACAUCAAUUUCUUUUGUUGUAAAAGGGUAAGAGGAAGGUGGCUUACGCUUCGGCGUAAGUGUUUAUAGCCUUUUACCUCUGCAAUCGGAGAGAUUGAGGUCUGCAGCGUAGAUCCUUCGGGGUUAGAUACACUUGUGCUAAGCUAUAGCCUUGUAUAGACAACUUGUUGACUAUGCUCAGUCAUGUAGCUUACUCGCUUGUGCUAUUUUACCUACGCUUAGGAUGUUGACGCAUGAGAUAUACGC